UCUGGUGAUAAUGGCGAAGAGGUCACACCCGUUCCCAUGCCGAACACGGAAGUUAAGCUCUUCAGCGCCGAUGGUAGUUGGGGGAUCUCCCCUGUGAGAGUAGGACGUCGCCAGGC
rnacentral:rRNA from 1 species